rnacentral:tRNA from 1 species
GCAGGCGUGGCGGAAUUGGCAGACGCGCUAGACUUAGGAUCUAGUGGGCGAUCCCCGUGAGAGUUCGAGUCUCUCCGCCUGCA